AAAAAGAAAAGAAAAGAAAACCCUAGUCCCCUGACCUCCACCACCCCCUUCACUAUUUUCCAUUUUUUCACUCCCAGGUUCCCGUAGCUCCCCACAAGCUUCUUCUUCAACAUCCCUCCGAUCCAUCCUUCUCCAUUUCUACUGCGACUGCGGAAGCCGCCCCCCGUGUUAUACUGUUAGGUCUAAGUUGUCACCAUUUCCAUGGCGG
rnacentral:misc_RNA from 1 species